rnacentral:rRNA from 1 species
GACAGAGGGUGCAAACGUUGUUCGGAUUUACUGGGCGUAAAGGGCGCGUAGGCGGCAAUUCAAGUCAGUUGUGAAAUCUCCGAGCUUAACUCAGAACGGCCAAGUGAUACUGCUGUGCUAGAGUGCAGAAGGGGCAAUCGGAAUUCUUGGUGUAGCGGUGAAAUGCGUAGAUAUCAAGAGGAACACCUGAGGUGAAGACGGGUUGCUGGGCUGACACUGACGCUGAGGCGCGAAAGCGUGGGGAGCGAACAGG